AACACAAUUGCUUGAUCAUAUGGUAAGAGCAUGUUUAGUUUAUAGAAAAAUGCCAAACUAUCUUCAAAAACGGCUUUACCAUGUUGAAUUCCCAACAACAGU
rnacentral:pre_miRNA from 1 species